rnacentral:rRNA from 1 species
GACAGAGGUUGCAAACGUUGUUCGGAAUUACUGGGCAUAAAGCGCACGUAGGCGGUUCGUUAAGUCAUGUGUGAAAUCCCUCGGCUCAACCGAGGAAUUGCGCCUGAUACUGGCGGGCUAGAGAUCGAUAGGGGGUGAGUGGAACUCCAGGUGGAGCGGUGAAAUGCGUAGAUAUCUGGAGGAACACCGGUGGCGAAAGCGGCUCACUGGAUCGAUACUGACGCUGAGGUGCGAAAGCUAGGGGUAGCAAACGGG